UUGACUUUCAAUAAAUGCCUU
rnacentral:siRNA from 1 species